UGUGCUUUAUGUUUAGUUCAGCUUUCCCUUUUUAUUAUCAUAAUCACAUUAAAAUGUUGAAUGUAUGAAAGAAACAAAAUAAUACAACUUUCAGCAACGGAUCUCUUGGCUCUCGCAUCGAUGAAGAACGCAGCGAAAUGCGAUAAGUAAUGUGAAUUGCAGAAUUCAGUGAAUCAUCGAAUCUUUGAACGCAUCUUGCGCUCCUUGGUAUUCCGAGGAGCAUGCCUGUUUGAGUGUCAUUAAAUUCUCAAACCAUGACUUUUUGUUGUGGCUUGGAUAGUUGGGUGUUGCCAGCUUUUUUUUAUUGCAGGCUCACCUUAAAUACAUAAGUGGUGCAUUUAGAAACUUGUUAGGUGUUGUAAAUUAUCAAUACAUCUAUGUUUCUCUGAAUAUACUGCUUCUAACAAACCUCAUUUGAUGAUUUUGACCUCAAAUCAGGUAGGACUACCCGCUGAACUUAAGCAUAUCAAUAAGCGGAGGAAAAGAAACUAACAAGGAUUCCCUCAGUAACUGCGAGUGAAGUGGGAAAAGCUCAAAUUUGAAAUCUGGCAGCUCUUUCAGGUUGUCCGAGUUGUAAUCUAGAGAA
rnacentral:rRNA from 1 species